UUUAUCUAACUUGGUCACCAAGUCAAUAAAUCAAAUUAAUUAAAAAUUCUUAGAUAUUUUUCUCCUCCCACAUCCAAACCGCCACACUCCUCACCCCUGAAUCUCUCCCAUAUCUUUAACUACUCUCCCUUAAUAUUAAAUCUUCAAUCCAUUUCUUUCUUCUGAUCGGUUUCCGCAGCAAGAAAAUUUAAGAAACCGAGAGCUCAAUCAAUUGAAUUAUAGAAACUGAAUCUGCAAAAUCCAGUGGGCUACUCCUUUCGGUCCUACAAUUUCACAACCAAUAUCGAGUUAUCGAGGGAAUUGUUCCAUGAGACUCUAAUCCGGAAAGAGGAAAUACUCAAGUGCGACACCUUUAAGCGAUCAAGGUUGAGCAGCGAAGUGGUGGAGGAAGUGCUAUUGAGACAAGGCAUUUAAUUCAGUCAGAU